GUCUAGAGUUUCGGGUUUGGGGUCCUUGACCCAUUACUUGGACGAUUUUUUGUUUGUCGGUCCGUCGGGUUCCCAGGAUUGUAUGGCGUUGCUUCGGGCCUUCCGGCGGGUAGCGUCGGAGUUCGGGGUUCCUGUUUCCGAACAAAAAAUGGUCGGCCCGGUGUUGGUUCUUUCGUUCUUGGGUAUCAAAAUCGAUACCGAGAGCAUGGUCUUCCGGCUUCC